AUAUCAAUAAGCGGAGGAAAAGAAACCAACCGGGAUUGCCUCAGUAACGGCGAGUGAAGCGGCAAAAGCUCAAAUUUGAAAUCUCCGCAAGGCGAGUUGUAAUUUGAAGAAGGCGACUUUGGAAUGGGCCCUUGUCUAUGUUCCUUGGAACAGGACGUCACAGAGGGUGAGAAUCCCGUGCGAUGGGGUGUCCCGUUCCGUGUAAAGUGCUUUCGACGAGUCGAGUUGUUUGGGAAUGCAGCUCUAAGUGGGUGGUAAAUUCCAUCUAAAGCUAAAUAUUGGCGAGAGACCGAUAGCGAACAAGUACAGUGAUGGAAAGAUGAAAAGCACUUUGAAAAGAGAGUGAAAAAGUAC
rnacentral:rRNA from 1 species